CAAAGUCAUAAGUCUUGAGAGAUUUCUUCCACGUGUCUUUUGAACCUUGUGUAUUUUGGAGGGAAGGUUAGAAAGGGACAGCCCAACUGAAUCCUCACUACCAUCACAUGUCUGUCCAGAAGACACAAGUACAUGCCUGGAUGCCACCAAGAAUUAUUCUGGCUGAGUGAACAAUUAAAAAUGACAUUUAAGAGAAAAUAAUUAAGAUCUAAAUGACAUCUAAAGUUAUGGAGACACUGCAAGUAAUUACCAAAAUGAACUUCAAAUGAAGAACAAUAAAAGCUUAUUUUACUCACA